GGAGAGAUGGCCGAGUGGUUGAUAGCUCCGGUCUUGAAAACCGGUAUAGUUUUAAACAAAGAACUAUCGAGGGUUCGAAUCCCUCUCUCUCCU
rnacentral:tRNA from 1 species